CAGCCCUGCUAGAGACAGCCAAAUUGCAGUAAUCGGUGGGUAACAGUCAAAGAAAUGCAACCUAUUGUACAACUAAGGGCCAAUUCAAGAGCUUGUGGAUGAAAGGUGUAAGUCCUCAAAGCAGGGGGUUUUGCAUAAGACAGGAAAACCCUUGGUUUGUGGGUGCAGGUGUUUGUUCUCGCCUGGAUCUAAACCACAAGCUUCAACUAAUCAUAGUCUUGAUUGAAGACCAUUAUUAGUUAAUUAACUGAAUCAAGCGUUUUAGUGCUUGGCUAGAGCAAAAGCUUUCACCCACAUGGCAAUUCGCUGAUAAGAUUGGGCACCCCUGUGCUAAUGUAAUGAUUCAUUUAGAUGAUUAAGGAACUGCAAAAGUGUUGAUUGCUUAACAGCUGGCUUCAGAAAAAGCCUGCAGCGCCCUCAUGGUUUGGAGGAUAUAAUUGCAGUUUCAAAAAAAAAAAAAAAAAAAGUCUUCAAGAAAAAUGUGUGGUCCUUGCAAUCAAAGUCUGACUCAUUUCAGCUUGCUAUUUCAGGAGCUAAUGACAGUCUCCAGUGUGUGAAUGUCACAGUCUGGCGUAACCUCCUCUUAUUACCCCUGGGCCUUAUUCAAUGGGCAGAACAUUCUGGAACUUUUUGAACAUUGCUUCAGUGAACGUUGGUUGGUCCAGUACCAUUUUUGGAAUAAUAAUGAAUGUAUGCAGGACGGCACAGUGGUGCACCGUCACCUCAAAGCAAGAAGGUCUGAAUCCUGAAUCUGAAUUCUGUGUGGAGUUUGCGAGUUCUCCCUGUCUCUGCGUGGGUUUCCUCUGGGUACUCCGGCUUCCUCCCACAGUCCAAAGUUGAAGAGUUUAAAAUGGCCACUGACUCUGAGGAAGGUACUCUGCAGGCUGGCGGAUGGGUGUUGCCGUGGCAGCAAUGAUGGUGGCGUGUCGCCGGUGCGUAUGGAAAGUCCUUCAAAGUCUGUCUGUUCGCUGCAGGCGGCAUUCUAAUGAGGUCAUCAAUAACCAGCAACAGCUGCUCUGGGGGGUGUGGGGGGGGGACGGGGAUUCGUCUGAGGAGACUGACGGGAAGAGAGAGCUCGGGCUGAAACUCGGAGGGGAGAAAAAUAUACACUCCAGAAAAACGGGGAACAGUGGCGUGCGCCGCGUUUGCUGAAAAGGAGAGGGAGCAGUUUGGAAGCCUCUGAAGUCCCUCCAGUCUGGUUGAUUAAUAAAACAAAUGAGAUGCUGCAAGCGG